rnacentral:lncRNA from 1 species
ACCCUCAAAUGCUCUCACCUAGUACCUGAACAACAGCCCUUCAGUAACUGCUGCUCAUCUCCCCCGCCUGGAUCUCAGGAAAACAGACUCAGCUCCAGCCCUGGUUACCUGGAGAUGCUGAAAGCAGAUUCAGAUGCAAGGUGUAUUGAACCCAGACACAAGUUCACCCCAAAUUUGGCAAGUUAGAGUUUAAAAUAGUAUGUGUUCAGGGUGAGCCUGUUGUGGGAGAGGAGCAGCACCGUUUCUCCAGGCACCUUCUCCAUCCCAGGAUCAUUGCUGGCACCCACCAGCUGAGCAGGAGUGGACAGCUGGAGAGAGAGCAAGUGGUUGGGAGGAGGCUCAGCAGCUGGUGGAGGCCACCCGAGAACAUUUCCCCAUCCUGGAAGUGUCCAAGGCGAGGUUGGAUGGCACUUGGAGCAACCUGGAAUAGCUGAAGGUGUGCCUGCCCAUGGGUUGCAAUGAGGUGGUUUUUAAGAUCCCUUCCAGCCCAAAGCAUUCAAUGAUUAUCUGAUUUUCCUGGAGCCUGCGGCUGCCCCUCGGUACCCCCUGGUGCAUCAGCCGGUCCCGGUAAUCUGUGCAGAGGGCAUCGGACUGGGCUGGGAUAACGGGAGGGCUGGAAGGAGGACUGGCACACGGUGUGAGCGCUCCACACGCGAUCACACAGUCCCCUCUAGUGGAUAUUCCUCU